rnacentral:lncRNA from 1 species
GUGUUUGCUCUGUCUUGUCUAUGUGCAAGCUCACACUCCCACUUCCUCUAGAAAGUAAGCCCAAGUUUGACCACAUCCCAUCGUCUUCCCCUGUCUUCACUGAUAAACACAAGCACACACACACACACGCACAGGUAAACAGACACACUCAAUAAAUACAAGCACACACACAUACACUCCCUCUCUCCAUCCAGCCUAAGGGAAGGAGGCAGCCAAGCCAUGGAUCCAUGAAUUCCUCAUAACGCAAUCUGUCGGCUGAUCAAUAAUUCAAUUCUGUCUGUGAGCAAGCAUGUCUGGAUCCAAUCUCACCUGCACCUCCCCUCGGCCUCCCCUUAACAAGGUGGGCGUUCUGUCCUUGAGCCGAGUUGGGCUUAGCUGUGUGUGUGUGUGUGUGUGUGUGUCCACUGGUCAGUGUAUAGGUAGCCUAGCCAGUAACAAAAAGGUUGCUGGUUCAAAUCCCUGAGCCGACUAGGUGAAAAUUGUCGACGUGCCCUUGAGCAAGACACUUAACUCUAAUUGCUCCUGUAAGUCGCUCUGGAUAAGAGCAUCUGACUAAAAUGUAAAAUGUGUGUCAGUGUCCAUGGCUGUGUGUGUAUGAAUGGGUGUCCACGUUUGUGUGUCCACGGGUGAUUAUGUGUGUUUUUAAAUUCCACAGCAGAGUUUGUGUGUGAUGUGUGUGUGUGUGUGUGUGUACCCGUGGCCGGGGAGUUUUGUGUGUCCGUCCGAGUGGUUGGCAGAGUUUGUGUCUGUCGUGCGAGAGUUGUGUCUGUGUCCGCGGCAGAAUUUGUGUCUGUCCGUCGCGGCAGAGUUUGUGUUGUCCGUCCGGGAGAGUUUGUGUCUGUCCGUCCCGGAGAGUUUGUGUCUGUCCGUCCGCGGCAGAUUUGUGUCUGUGUCCGCGCGCAGAGUUUUGUCUGUCUCCGCGGCGAGAGAGUUUGUGGUCUGUCCGUCGGGCGCAGGCAGUUUGUGUCUGUCCGUCCGCGGCAGAGUUUGUGUGUGUCCGUCCGCGGCAGAGUUUGUGUCUGUCCGUCCGCGGCAGAGUUUUGUGCUGUCCGUCCGCGGCAGAGUUUGUGUCUGUCCGUCCGCGCAGAGUUUUGUUGUUUGUCGUCGAGGCCAGAGUUUGUGUCUGUCCGUCCGCGGCAGAGUUGGUCUGUCCGUAGCCGGCGAGUUUGUGUCUGUCCGUCCGCGGCAGAGUUUUGUCGUCGUCGCGGCGUGGAGAGUUUGUGUCGUCCGUCGCCGGCAGAGUUUGUGUGUGUCCGUCCGCGGCAGAGUUUGUGUGUGUUUCCGCGGCAGAGUUUGUGUGUGUCCGUCCGCAGGCAGAGUUUGUGUGUGUGUCUGUCCGUGGGGCAGAGUUUGUGUGGGUUGU